CCUACGGGGGGCUGCAGUGAGGAAUAUUGGUCAAUGGGCGCGAGCCUGAACCAGCCAAGUAGCGUGAAGGAUGACUGCCCUACGGGUUGUAAACUUCUUUUAUAAAGGAGUAAAGUGAGGCACGUGUGCCUUUUUGUAAGUACUUUAUGAAUAAGGAUCGGCUAACUCCGUGCCAGCAGCCGCGGUAAUACGGAGGAUCCGAGCGUUAUCCGGAUUUAUUGGGUUUAAAGGGAGCGUAGGUGGGUGGUUAAGUCAGUUGUGAAAGUCUGCGGCUCAACCUUAAAAUUGCAAUUGAUACUGGUAGUCUUGAGUACAGUUGAGGUAGGCGGAAUGCGUGGUGUAGCGGUGAAAUGCUUAGAUAUCACGAAGAACUCCGAUUGCGAAGGCAGCUUACUAAACUGCCACUGACAUUGAUGCUCGAAAGUGUGGGUAUCAAACAGGAUUAGAUACCCGAGUAGUC
rnacentral:rRNA from 1 species